AUGGGCGCCCGGCCGCGGCUGAGGUCAGUUCCGCUGCCUGGCGCUGCGCUCCGCCGAGGCUGCGGCGGCGACGGGGGGCGCGGGUGCGCCCUCGCUGGGGACAGUCUCGCAAAAACAAUAGAAGGUGCUGUUUGUGGACUGAAAGUGUUUUCUACUAACCAAGAUAAAAAGAAUGAUUAUGGCAAGAUAAAUGGAGACAAGUGAGGAGGGAGAGCAAUGUGAGACAUCACCUCUGUAGCAGAAGAGUCUUGAAGGGUGUAUCCUGUGAGUUUUCCUGACACAUGGCAUGGGGCCAGCUUCUUCUUUCCACAUUAACCUCUUCCUGCUGGAGUGCUAUGUGAGUGAGGAUGACAAACAGUUCAUUCUAACAGAAUUUGUUGUAGGAAGUUUACUUCCUGUAGUUUAGUACAUAAUAUAGUGCAUAUAUACCAGAAUGGCAAACUUUGUUCGACCUCAAACCUUGAAUCUUGUAUAUGGGUAUAAAUAAGCAACUUAAGCAUUGGGUAACUUUGCCACCUUUUAUUUAAUUAUCCUUUUUUUUCCUUGGUCUUUUCUGCUCUUUGCCAUACGAUUCAGACCUAUUUUUUCCCAUUCCAUUCUGUCCUCUUCCAUGUUUACAGUAAAGGUUUCUUUUCUGUACACUAACUUUCAUCCCAGAUACUUUUAGUCUCCCGAGGUUUCUGCUUUUCACUCCUGAACCUUCCCUUCUCGGAGUCUCACAAGAUCUUCCCAUCAUUCAUCUUAUUUGUAACCUUGAGGUUCACCUAACCCCCCCACCCCAGUGUAUGUUUAUAAAUAAAACAGUGCUGAGACAAAUAUGUACA
rnacentral:lncRNA from 1 species